rnacentral:lncRNA from 1 species
AACAUUAAAUCACGAGUUUAUAAUAGCUGUGGAGGUUUUCUUAGCUCUAUGUCUGCAUUACCUCCUUCAUGAUUGAACUGAAAGACUUUUGAGAUCCUAGGGAAGCUAAGAUCAAGCAAUCCAAGAAAUCCAGAUGGCCCCAAAGAUUUAUUUGAUCCUGCACAAUAAUCUCAGUGUCUCCAGUUAUUUAUGCACUGUCAGCAAGCAGACAGUGUUGUAUAAUAGAAAGAUGUGUGAGAGGUCACAUUGACCUUUGUUCUACUGCAUGUUCCUAAUAGCUGUGUAGUCGUGGCUAAAUUGGUUAGCUCUCUGCAUCAUAUUUUGCUCAUGUGUGAAUAAAGAGACAUCUCUAAAUUGUCAUAAUUCUAAAGCCAGAUCUUAAAUAAAAAAUGGUAACACAUAUAGUACUCUGCCAGUCCAGAUAGCCAGGAAAAGCAUAUUUGUCUGUGGGCCAACAUUGUUUCCUAUACUUGCCUUCCAUCCACACAUAGAUCUGACUCAAAGGGAGAAUCAAGAGGAAAGGCCAUGAUCGUUGUGUUAUGAAGGGUUUACAAGGACCCCCUGGGAGUACAGGAGACAGAGGACUUGCCGGAGAACCAGGACCACGAGGAUUGCAAGGUGAUCCUGGAGCUCCUGGAGAAAUGGGUGCUGAGGGCCUUUCGGGUAUUGAGGGAGAAUCUGGUCUGCAGGGCGAGCCAGGUGCAAAGGUAACCUUCCUAAAUAGGAAAGGGGAGGGUCUCUAAACUUUCACUAUUGAAUCUCUUAUGUUUGCCACGUUUUGGCAAACACCCAUCACCUUGAAAGCAGGUGAAAGAGAGCAGAUAAAAAUGGGAAGUAUUCUCAAAUGAGUCAGAAAAAAUCGUUGUC